CCCUUAGAUGUUCUGGGCCGCACGCGCGCUACACUGAUGCAUUCAACGAGUCUAAAACCUGCUCUGAUAGGGGUGGGUAAUCUUUUGAAUGUGCAUCGUGAUUGGGAUAGAUGAUUGCAAUUUUUCAUCUUCAACGAGGAAUGCCUAGUAAACGCAAGUCAUCAGCUUGCAUUGAUUACGUCCCUGCCCUUUGUACGCACCGCCCGUCGCUCCUACCGAUUGAAUGAUCCGAUGAAUAUCAUGGAUUGAGGAUGCAAGUAGGUUCGCCUAUCUUCAUCUUCGAGAAGUGAAGUAAAUCUUAUCAUUUAGAGGAAGGAGAAGUCGUAACA
rnacentral:rRNA from 1 species